CCUACGGGAGGCAGCAGUGAGGAAUAUUGGUCAAUGGCCGGAAGGCUGAACCAGCCAAGCCGCGUGAAGGACGAAUGUGCCAAGCAUUGUAAACUUCUUUUGUCAAGGGACAAAAUCAGGCUCGAGAGCCUGACCUAGGGUACUUGAAGAAAAAGCAUCCGCGAACUCCGUGCCAGCAGCCGCGGUAAUACGGAGGAUUCGAGCGUUAUCCGGGUUUAUUGGGUUUAAAGGGUGCGUAGGCGGGAUGUUAAGUCAGCGGUAAAAACCCGGGGCUCAACCCCGGCGCGCCGUUGAAACUGGCUGUCUUGAGAUGUCGAGAGGUAUGCGGAAUGCGCAGUGUAGCGGUGAAAUGCUUAGAUAUUGCGCAGAACUCCGAUUGCGAAGGCAGCAUACCGGCGGCGAUCUGACGCUGAGGCACGAAAGCGUGGGUAUCGAACAGGAUUAGAUACCCUUGUAGUC
rnacentral:rRNA from 1 species